rnacentral:rRNA from 1 species
AAUGAACGUUGGCGGCGUGGAUUAGGCAUGCAAGUCGAGCGGAAAGGCCCGCAAGGGCACUCGAGCGGCGUAAGGGACAGUAAUGUGUAGGUAACGUACCCCUGGGUCUAGGAUAGCUGCGGGAAACUGCAAUUAAUACUAGAUAACGUCUCCGGACCAAAGGUGUGAUUCCACCUGGGGAGCGGCCUACAUCCUAUUAGCUAGUUGGCGAGGUAAUGGCUCACCAAGGCGAAGAUGGGUAGCAGGUGUGAGAGCACGACCUGCGUCACUGGGACUGAGACACUGCCCAGACACCUACGGGUGGCUGCAGUCGAGAAUCUUCGGCAAUGGGCGAAAGCCUGACCGAGCGACGCCGCGUGUGGGAUGAAGGCCUUCGGUUGUAAACCGACUGUCGGAGGGGAGUGAAGUGUUAGUGGGUUCG